UUGAACGCUGGCGGCAGGCCUAACACAUGCAAGUCGAACGGUAACAGGAAGCAGCUUGCUGCUUUGCUGACGAGUGGCGGACGGGUGAGUAAUGUCUGGGAAACUGCCUGAUGGAGGGGGAUAACUACUGGAAACGGUAGCUAAUACCGCAUAACGUCGCAAGACCAAAGAGGGGGACCUUCGGGCCUCUUGCCAUCGGAUGUGCCCAGAUGGGAUUAGCUAGUAGGUGGGGUAACGGCUCACCUAGGCGACGAUCCCUAGCUGGUCUGAGAGGAUGACCAGCCACACUGGAACUGAGACACGGUCCAGACUCCUACGGGAGGCAGCAGUGGGGAAUAUUGCACAAUGGGCGCAAGCCUGAUGCAGCCACGCCGCGUGUAUGAAGAAGGCCUUCGGGUUGUAAAGUACUUUCAGCGGGGAGGAAGGGAGUAAAGUUAAUACCUUUGCUCAUUGACGUUACCCGCAGAAGAAGCACCGGCUAACUCCGUG
rnacentral:rRNA from 1 species